UACAGAGGUCCCAAGCGUUGUUCGGAUUCACUGGGCGUAAAGGGUGCGUAGGUGGUGAGGUAAGUCGGAUGUGAAAGCUCGGAGCUCAACUCCGAAAUGGCAUUGGAAACUACCUUGCUCGAGGGUUGGAGGGGGGACUGGAAUUCUCGGUGUAGCAGUGAAAUGCGUAGAUAUCGAGAGGAACACCAGUGGCGAAGGCGAGUCCCUGGACAACUCCUGACACUGAGGCACGAAAGCUGGGGGAGCAAACGGG
rnacentral:rRNA from 1 species